rnacentral:rRNA from 1 species
GACGAACGCUGGCGGCGUGCUUAACACAUGCAAGUCGAACGGAAAGGCCCUGCUUUUGUGGGGUGCUCGAGUGGCGAACGGGUGAGUAACACGUGAGUAACCUGCCCUUGACUUUGGGAUAACUUCAGGAAACUGGGGCUAAUACCGGAUAGGAGCUCCUGCUGCAUGGUGGGGGUUGGAAAGUUUCGGCGGUUGGGGAUGGACUCGCGGCUUAUCAGCUUGUUGGUGGGGUAGUGGCUUACCAAGGCUUUGACGGGUAGCCGGCCUGAGAGGGUGACCGGCCACAUUGGGACUGAGAUACGGCCCAGACUCCUACGGGAGGCAGCAGUGGGGAAUAUUGCACAAUGGGCGGAAGCCUGACGCAGCAACGCCGCGUGCGGGAUGACGGCCUUCGGGUUGUAAACCGCUUUCGCCUGUGACGAAGCGUGAGUGACGGUAAUGGGUAAAGAAGCACCAGCUAACUACGUG